GGGGCACCUGACCGAGCACGCCGCGUGAGUGAUGAAGGUUUUCGGAUCGUAAAGCUCUGUUGUAAGAGAAGAACGUGUGUGAGAGUGGAAAGUUCACACAGUGACGGUAACUUACCAGAAAGGGACGGCUAACUACGUGCCAGCAGCCGCGGUAAUAU
rnacentral:rRNA from 1 species